rnacentral:rRNA from 1 species
AGGUAACGGCUUACCAUGGCAACGAUGGGUAGGGGUCCUGAGAGGGAGAUCCCCCACACUGGUACUGAGACACGGACCAGACUCCUACGGGAGGCAGCAGUGAGGAAUAUUGGUCAAUGGGCGCAAGCCUGAACCAGCCAUGCCGCGUGCAGGAUGACGGUCCUAUGGAUUGUAAACUGCUUUUGUACGAGAAGAAACAACAUUACGUGUAAUGUCUUGACGGUAUCGUAAGAAUAAGGAUCGGCUAACUCCGUGCCAGCAGCCGCGGUAAUACGGAGGAUCCAAGCGUUAUCCGGAAUCAUUGGGUUUAAAGGGUCCGUAGGCGGUUUAGUAAGUCAGUGGUGAAAGCCCAUCGCUCAACGGUGGAACGGCCAUUGAUACUGCUAGACUUGAAUUAUUAGGAAGUAACUAGAAUAUGUAGUGUAGCGGUGAAAUGCUUAGAGAUUACAUGGAAUACCAAUUGCGAAGGCAGGUUACUACUAAUGGAUUGACGCUGAUGGACGAAAGCGUGGGUAGCGAACAGGAUUAGAUACCCUGGUAGUCCACGCCGUAAACGAUGGAUACUAGCUGUUGGGAGCAAUUUCAGUGGCUAAGCGAAAGUGAUAAGUAUCCCACCUGGGGAG